GAUGAAGAACGUAGCGAAAUGCGAUACUUGGUGUGAAUUGCAGAAUCCCGUGAACCAUCGAGUCUUUGAACGCAAGUUGCGCCCGAAGCCAUUAGGCCGAGGGCACGCCUGCCUGGGUGUCACACGUCGUUGCCCCCCCAUCUACUCCUUCGGGAUUGCGGGGGGCGGAUGAUGGCCUCCCGUGCGCCUCGUCGCGCGGUUGGCAUAAAUGCCAAGUCCUCGGCGACGCACGCCACGACAAUCGGUGGUUGCGAAACCUCGGUUGCCCGUCGUGUGCGGUCGUCGCGCAUCGAGGGCUCGAAAAAAUUGCCGGGCUCCGGCUCGGCUUUCAACGCGACCCCAGGUCAGGCGGGGUUACCCGCUGAAUUUAAGCAUAUCAUAGCGGAGGA
rnacentral:misc_RNA from 1 species